GAUGGAAGCAUGGCGACAUGUGGAGUUGACUGAUACUAAUCGAUCGAGGACUUAACCACA
rnacentral:rRNA from 1 species